UUGAUCGUUCAUUGAUUUUAGAAUUAGUGUGCCUUGCGUGUUUGAUUGGACUGAAUUUCCUUGGUUUUUGACAAAUUUCUGGGUUAGUUAUGCUUCAAUUUGAGCAGAAAUCUGGUAAGAUUUUGAUGCCUACAACCUGUUAGAUGAAAUGCCCAACUGAGUGUUCUAAUUAAAAGAUAACUGGUCUGCAUUUUCGCGUGUGAAGGAACUGGAUAAGUGAGCAAGUUCAAUUUUUGCGUUUGAGAAAAUUCUGAUGAAUCGGUGUUUUGCAUCUUCUGUUCUUCUUGUUUUCUUAUCGGGAUACUCUCUGUUGGGAUUAAUAAUGAUAGACAGCCAUGCUUGAAUUAUGAUAAAGUUGAGGAUUUGGAAUUCACAUGAGUUUGGGUGGACAGAUCACUACAUACUCAUUUUCAUUACUUUGCAUGAUCACCAUUUUCGGCUUGUAGCUGGAAAAUUGCAGAAUGUUGUUUUGAUGUUCACAUGCCCUUUUGUCUGAUUUUUUUUGGGUUUAAAUUUAGAGGUUGCAUGUUGCAAAGUAAAGGUUUAGGAAGUAGCUUUGUUUGCUCAAUUUCAAACUAGAUUUGAUUGUGUUUGUGAGUUGGGUUUGUGAAUUGCGAGUUGCAGAAGUUUUUGUCUAAAUGAGGAAGAAACCUGCUCUUCGAAAGCUUGCUUGGGUUCUCCAAAAGAUUUGCAAUUUAACCCCUCAAUUUCUAUCUAAUUGCAUUGUGGCCCAAAAACUAAAAAAUAUCAAGUUGUUUUGGCCCUUCUAAGUUUCAGUUUGCCUUUUGUAUUUUCAGUGAGUUGUUGGGUAGAUUAAUUCUGAGAUUAUGAUAUGAUUAGGUAUGUUUUUUUAGUUAUCUUAUUAUUCUGAUGGGUUUAACAAAAAUUAGUUGGGAAUUGGAUUAGGUUUAUUUUGAUUGGGUCUUGAUGGUGAUUUGUUUGUUUGGAUUGGGUUUUG
rnacentral:lncRNA from 1 species